GGGCGGGUCCUGUGCGGCGGCAGAUUGUGAACCAUGUCAGGCGGGGAACCGAGCAGCAUUAAGCGUAUCGAGCCGUGCGCGCAGCAAAUCGGUCCGUU
rnacentral:SRP_RNA from 1 species